rnacentral:rRNA from 1 species
UACGGAGGGGGCUAGCGUUGUUCGGAAUUACUGGGCGUAAAGCGCACGUAGGCGGAUCAGUCAGUCAGGGGUGAAAUCCGGGGGCUCAACCCCGGAACUGCCUUUGAUACUGCUGAUCUGGAGGAUGAGAGAGGCGAGUGGAAUUCCGAGUGGAGAGGUGAAAUUCGUAGAUAUUCGGAGGAACACCAGUGGCGAAGGCGGCUCGCUGGCUCAUUUCUGACGCGGAGGUGCGAAAGCGUGGGGAGCAAACAGG